UGCAGGUAGGACUUUGCCCAGAAGCUACAAAUCACUUGCAAGAAAUGAAGGACAUGCUAAUUGCCAUAUCAAAUGAACUGCUUGAUGAUGUCAAUGAACUCAGUCCAAAGCAAAUAGAGAAGCUUCGCCAAGAUAGGUUGCAGCUCAAUAAGCAGAUUCAGCCACUUUAGAGUUAUCUCUGUUCCAACUCAUUGGAUGAGGAAAGACGGAAGUCAAAUUUUUCUGCAUCCACAACAACUCCCAGGCAUUUCCAACAUGAAACACCUCAAGCAGCUGCAAUCAGUUGUGAGCCAAACGUGAAAGUGAAAACAUGAUAAAUAUCUUAUUCAUGAAAAUAAGUUCUCUGUUGUUUGCUAGUUACUGGCAGUCAGAAGCAGCCUUUGUUUUCAUGGUGCUAAACUGCUGGACUAUCGAUAUAUUUAUAUAUUAGGAUUUAUGGUAAUCUAGAAUUGGUCUGUGAACCUUCUGGUGGUGUUUUUAAUGACCGUGUUGACUGCACUGCUAAACAGGUGAAAUUUGUGGGUCCAUACUAUACGAAAGGUUGUAGCCUGUGAGCCUAUAAUUAAAUCAAUGGGUAGGUUAGAACCCAUCCUGAUGGUGUGUUGUUUAGGUCCAUUAUCUAUUUAUUUUAUAGGUGCCUCUGAAUGAUUGUUUGUGUGUGGAGUUUUACAUUUUCAGUCAUGUUACAAAUAAAUGAAGGGGAUGGUGCAUUUCACAGACCAAAGAUAGAUACCAAUGUAUCUGAUGCAUUGAACAUGAAGUUUUAGUGUGCAACAUUACAGCUUGAUUUUCAGCUACCUGCUCGCUUUGAGCUGUAUUACUUAGCAGAGGGUGAAGAAGGCAAGAAGGAGGCACUUGUUAUGAUACACAUAGCCAUUUUGGGUUCUAUUGAGCGUUCUCUAGCAAUAACAGUGGCAAAUCCAACUGAUCUUGUAAAAGUUAGACUUCGAGCUGAGAGAAAAUUACCACCAGGCGCACCAAGGCGCUAUUCUGGCACAUUGAAUGCGUCUUCCACCAUCUUGAGACAAGUUGUGAUUGAUGGCUUAAGAGAUCGAAAGAUUGCUUAUCAUCUUUGCCUACAAGAGAGCUUCUGCAAGAGCAAAUGAAGGUGCAUUAAAGGAAAGCAGUAGUAAUCUAUGUAGUUUAGGUCUUCCUAGCUAGAACAUUUUACAAG